AUCACUUCUCGGCCUUUUGGCUAAGAUCAAGUGUAGUAUCUGUUCUUAUCAGUUUUAAUAUCAGAUAUGUUCUCUAUUUGGGAACUUUAUAUUAAAUGAGUUUUUGGACCUAUAAAAAAUAAAUAAAUAAGUCUAAUAGCUUUGGUGAUGCGACUUAGAAAACA
rnacentral:snRNA from 1 species